CUGCCAACGGCGAAUUCGCCACCACUGCCACCGCCGCUGCCACCACCGCUGCCACCACCGACUCACCGGGCCGGCGGGCAUUGCCGGAAAGCGAAUGGAAUUUGAGCAUUUCUGAUCAAUUAAAUCGCCUAUUAUUCUUUGCUCGGCGCAUUUGGGAAACCCGUUCUCGGCGAUGCCAAGGCUACGGUGGUUUCGUUUAAAAUUUGUUCGGUCUGUUUUCGAGGAUGUUGUCGAGCAGUUAAAACAAAAAAAAAACAAAGUGACCCUCCGUCGUGGAUUUGUCAACGAUUGGCGCGAUGAACGGAUAUGGCCACAGCACGCGGACGCGUGCUGUCGGCAUCAGCUGAGCAAAUGCCAACUCUGCCCCCAUCUGUCAGCUGUGGAACAUCCCCGCUCCGUGCUGUCACCGUGACGUGCUCAGCGCAAUGGAACACGGGGCAAUUUUUUUGUUGGCACGUCAUUAAAUCAGCCAUAAUCAAAGUUUGGCUUCAUAUGAAUACCAGCCAAUACCAUUUCGGUGAACGUCGGCACGUGUAAUGGCGCAACACAUCACGCAGCAAGGGUACAGCGUGCCACGCUGAGUGUCUACAAGGCACUCCGUCAGAGGCCUACAGGAGUGCAUUAUCGUUAUAAAACAGCUAAGCCGCUUAUAAAUAAAUAAAAAGUUGACUCAUUGUAAUUCCGCGCAUAUAAAGGCAAUGGUGGAUGUGUGGUGAGGCACGUAUUUUAAAUGUUACAUUUGAACAAACGUUACACACGUUUUUUUUUUAAUAUAAGGUAAGUAUAAUUGCUUCCAAGCAGAAAACUAUUUAAGGAGUUUGUUUACAUUUUAUUUCAAAGUGGAUGCGUCAGUGACAUUGUUGUCUUUAUGAUGGUUCGUGCAACCAAAUAAGGUUUCCACAAGUUUCCAUGGGAAAAUACAAAAGGCUGGUCAAAAAGCGUUGAGAGUGAACGGAUGAAAGAUCGUCUCGUCGACAGCCCUGACGGCUCAUAUUUGUUUACGUCCACCACUUACAUUAGACCUCUCUGCGUGUCUGACACAAUAUGAAUAGUGUAAGAUGACCUCACUAUACAAGAUUACUUAAAACCUACUCGCCGGUAACACGAGCCUAAAGUGUUACAAAUACAUAAUUGUUGUUGACAACAGUAUCAAUUAUUACCAUAACACACAUUUUAGUUUUUGUUUUUGAUAGAUGCAUCAAGCGCAACUUGAAAUAUUAGACAAACGCCGUUAGAGCCGAGACACCCACACAUUUGCCAGAACGCAGCCCAACUCUUGCGAAUGCCCCACCCCAUUGUAUAAUCAAAACCAGAGUCUUUAUUAAGAUUGCAGGAGGAGGAAUCCGAUGAUGUAUGAAGCUCUUCCACAGAUAUCCAGUAUGGGCGGGUCAGACAAGUUACGGCAGCAAAACAAUACGACAACAAAAAACGAUAUGAGUUCAAAACAGAAAAAAUGGUAAGCAAGUCACUAAAUAUUUCUAUUAAAAAAGUCUGAUUUAUCAAGCUUUGGCAAUGCAGCAAAACCAACAGCAAAAACAGUCCCAGACCACACAAAGAUAGCACAGCUCCCUCAAUAAAAUGGCACAUUAACAUUGAACUAUCGACACACAGGCAAUGCUUAAAAUUUACAAAUCACAUUUUCAAAUGUGACUGUAUCCAGCAGUUAACUUCCGCUUCAGGAUAUACAAAAUCACCCGCCCAAUAAGAAACACGCGAAAACACUCACGCAUGGCCAUCAUAUCGGUGCCAAUAACUACCGCUUUCUAUCAAUUCACAACAGCCGCGGUUGAAUUUUAAGGCCGUCCCACAGACGGCUUCAGCAUCGGCAAUUAGUCGAUGUUACUGCAGAUCGCGGACUUGCUGAUCUACACAAGCAGUCUCAGUCGAUGUUACUGCAGAUCGCGGACUUGCUGAUCUACACAAACAGUCUCAGUCGAUGUUACUGCAGAUCGCGGACUUGCUGAUCUACACAAGCAGUCUUAGUCGAUGUUACUGCAGAUCGCGAAUGUGCUUAUCUACACAAGCAGUCUGUCCGGAUAUAUCGUCACGAAGAGAGUUGCUGUGCAGAAGCUGUCUGACAAGUUGCAUUGGAUAAAAAUUAGCGUACACAGUCCCUCAUUGCAUUUUAAGUCGAUAACGGCUGAUAAGCGUAAAUGUUCAAUUCAAUUAAAAUAAUGAAUAGAUUGUUGUUCGUGGUAUAACAUCGCGGUGGAGUAGAGGCGCAGUGGCUCGUGCUUUGCACGAUAAAUCACGGUUUGUCCGAGUUUGAUUCCCACCCAGGAUAACAUCACGUGGCGAGCAAUAUCUGAACUGGUCUUGAUUCCCCCUUCCUUUCACAAACUCACCGGUCUGCAUUGACCUGCAUGGUGAAGUAUGGUUAAAAGAAAAACUAAGACUCCGAAUGUGAAGGCAUUCAUCCAACAGUGGAUUGACAAGGGACUGUAAAUUAUAACCAAUAAUUAUUAUUCCCCAUACAUACUUGCACACUGCAUUACAGGAUAUUUAAUGCAGCGAUGUUAUACUAAAAUGAACAUAAUUUUUCAAUGUACGUCGCCAACUGAUUAGUAUGGUUGGCUACGUAUGUCGUGAAAGAAGUCCUAACAUACAUACAAUAAUUUUUGUUACGCAAUUAAUGAUUCCACCUGGAGAAGGAUAAUGCUGCAGUAUUAAAAUACAGUGACUGAGCUUUCCAGGUCAAUGUUACCCAACAGCAUUUGGUUAAAAAUUCAGGGUUUGGAACCGAUUUCGACCUUAUGGUUCUCAUCAGCAUAGGUCAUGGUGGUUAAGAAAAUACUGCCACAUUGCCACAUGUUAUUAGCAAGACCAUUCCAUAUGCGAGA